UACGUAGGGGGCAAGCGUUGUCCGGAAUCAUUGGGCGUAAAGAGCGUGUAGGCGGUCCGGUAAGUCGGCUGUGAAAGUCCAGGGCUCAACCCUGGGAUGCCGGUCGAUACUGCCGGACUAGAGUUCGGAAGAGGCGAGUGGAAUUCCCGGUGUAGCGGUGAAAUGCGCAGAUAUCGGGAGGAACACCUAUGGCGAAGGCAGCUCGCUGGGACGUUACUGACGCUGAGACGCGAAAGCGCGGGGAGCAAACAGG
rnacentral:rRNA from 1 species